rnacentral:rRNA from 1 species
AUCUGGCGUCCUCAGGGCGUCCGAGUUGUAAUCUAUAGAGGCGUUUUCCGUGCCGGACCGUGUCCAAGUUCCUUGGAACAGGAUAUCAAAGAGGGUGACAAUCCCGUACUUGACACGACGACCGGUGCUCUGUGAUACGUCUUCUACGAGUCGAGUUGUUUGGGAAUGCAGCUCAAAAUGGGUGGUGAGUUCCAUCUAAAGCUAAAUAUUGGCGAGAGACCGAUAGCGAACAAGUACCGUGAGGGAAAGAUGAAAAGCACUUUGGAAAGAGAGUUAAACAGUACGUGAAAUUGUUGAAAGGGAAACGAUUGAAGUCAGUCGUGACCGAGAGGCUCAGCCGGUUCUGCCGGUGUAUUCCCCUCGGUCGGGUCAACAUCAGUUUUGUCCGGUGGAUAAGGGCGGUAGGAAGGUGGCACCCUCGGGUGUGUUAUAGCCUGCCGUCGCAUACAUCGGGUGAGACUGAGGAACGCAGCUCGCCUUUAUGGCCGGGGUUCGCCCACGUCCGAGCUUAGGAUGUUGACAUAAUGGCUUUAAACGACCCGUCUU